rnacentral:tRNA from 1 species
UGGCAGAGUGGUUAAAGCACUUGGUUGGUAAUCAAAAGUUUGGUGGUUCAAACCCACC